rnacentral:rRNA from 1 species
CCUACGGGAGGCAGCAGUGGGGAAUAUUGGACAAUGGGGGAAACCCUGAUGCAGCGACGCCGCGUGAGUGAAGAAGUAUUUCGGUAUGUAAAGCUCUAUCAGCAGGGAAGAAAAUGACGGUACCUGACUAAGAAGCCCCGGCUAACUACGUGCCAGCAGCCGCGGUAAUACGUAGGGGGCAAGCGUUAUCCGGAUUUACUGGGUGUAAAGGGAGCGUAGACGGCAGUGCAAGUCUGAAGUGAAAGCCCGGGGCUCAACCCCGGGACUGCUCUGGAAACUGUGUAGCUGGAGUGCGGGAGGGGCAGGCGGAAUUCCUGGUGUAGCGGUGAAAUGCGUAGAUAUCAGGAGGAACACCGGCGGCGAAGGCGGCCUGCUGGACCGUAACUGACGUUGAGGCUCGAAAGCGUGGGGAGCAAACAGGAUUAGAUA